AACGAACGCUGGCGGCAUGCCUAACACAUGCAAGUCGAACGAGACCUUCGGGCUUAGUGGCGCACGGGUGCGUAACGCGUGGGAACCUGCCCUUAGGUUCGCAAUAACUCCCCGAAAGGGGUGCUAAUACCGGAUAAUGUCUUCGGACCAAAGAUUUAUCGCCUUUGGAUGGGCCUGCGUUGGUUUAGCUGGUUGGUAGGGUAAAAGCCUAUCAGGGCGACGAUACAUAGCUGGUCUGAGAGGAUGAUCAGCCACACUGGGACUGAGACACGGCCCAGACUCCUACGGGAGGCAGCAGUGGGGAAUAUUGGACAAUGGGCGAAAGCCUGAUCCAGCAAUGCCGCGUGAGUGAUGAAGGCCUGAGGGUUGUAAAGCUCUUUUACCCGGGAUGAUAAUGACAGUACCGGGAGAAUAAGCUCCGGCUAACUCCGUG
rnacentral:rRNA from 1 species